ACGAACCGUACAAACGUUAUUCGGAAUCACUGGGCUUAAAGGGUGCGUAGGCGGCGCUGUAAGUUGGGUGUGAAAUCCCUCGGCUCAACCGAGGAACUGCGCCCAAAACUACAGUGCUUGAGGGAGAUAGAGGUGAGCGGAACUUAGGGUGGAGCGGUGAAAUGCGUUGAUAUCCUAAGGAACGCCAGGGGCGAAAGCGGCUCACUGGGUCUCUUCUGACGCUGAGGCACGAAAGCUAGGGUAGCGAACGGGAUUAGAUACCCCGGUAGUCCUAGCCGUAAACGAUGAGCACUAGAUGGAAGGGUCCUCCAUAACCUUUCCAUCGAAGCGAAAGUAAUUAGUGCUCCGCCUGGGGAGUAUGGUCGCAAGGCUG
rnacentral:rRNA from 1 species